rnacentral:rRNA from 1 species
CCCUUAGAUGUUCUGGGCCGCACGCGUGCUACACUGAGUGGAUCAGCGGGUCAGGUUGCGCGAAAGUGUUUCCUAAUCUUGAAAUCCGCUCGUGAUGGGGAUUGACGGUUGCAGUUUUCCGUCAUGAACGAGGAAUACCUUGUAAGCGCGGGUCAUCAUCCCGCGCUGAAUACGUCCCUGCCCUUUGUACACACCGCCCGUCGCUCCUACCGAUUGAGUGGUCCGGUGAGGCUUUGGGAUCUGAGCGGAAAGAGCGUUUCGCUGUUUCUGCUCGGAAAACUCAGUCGAACCUUAUCAUUUAGAGGAAGGAGAAGUCGUAACA